rnacentral:rRNA from 1 species
AUGAGUAACAGGUCGUAGACCCGAAACCAGGUGAUCUACCCAUGUCCAGGAUGAAGGUGAGGUAAUACUCACUGGAGGUCCGAACCCACGCACGUUGAAAAGUGCGGGGAUGAGGUGUGGGUAGCGGAGAAAUUCCAAUCGAACCUGGAGAUAGCUGGUUCUCUCCGAAAUAGCUUUAGGGCUAGCCUCGAGGUAAAGAGUCGUGGAGGUAGAGCACUGUUUGGACUAGGGGCCCUUCUCGGGUUACCGAAUUCAGAUAAACUCCGAAUGCCAUGUACUUAUACUCGGGAGUCAGACUGCGAGUGAUAAGAUCCGUAGUCGAAAGGGAAACAGCCCAGACCACCAGUUAAGGUCCCAAAAUAUAUGUUAAGUGGAAAAGGAUGUGGGGUUGCAUAGACAACCAGGAUGUUGGCUUAGAAGCAGCCACCAUUGAAAGAGUGCGUAAUAGCUCACUGGUCGAGUGACCCCGCGCCGAAAAUGUACCGGGGCUAAACAUAUUACCGAAACUGUGGAUGAACCUCUUCGGAGGUUCGUGGUAGGAGAGCGUUCUAAGGGCGGUGAAGUCAGACCGGAAGGACUGGUGGAGCGCUUAGAAGUGAGAAUGCCGGUAUGAGUAGCGAAAGAAGGGUGAGAAUCCCUUCCACCGAAUAUCUAAGGUUUCCUGAGGAAGGCUCGUCCGCUCAGGGUUAGUCGGGACCUAAGCUGAGGCCGAUAGGCGUAGGCGAUGGACAACAGGUAGAUAUUCCUGUACCAGUGCUAGUUGUUUGAGCAAUGGGGUGACACAGAAGGAUAGGGAAUCGCACAGAUGGAAACGUGCGUCCAAGCAGUGAGUGUGAGAAGUAGGCAAAUCCGCUUCUCGCGAAGCAUGAGCUGUGAUGGGGAAGGAAAUUUAGUACGGAAGUUCCUGAUUUCACGCUGUCAAGAAAAGCCUCUAGUUAGAUUAGUACUGCCCGUACCGCAAACCGACACAGGUAGAUGAGGAGAGAAUCCUAAGGUGAGCGAGAGAACUCUCGUUAAGGAACUCGGCAAAAUGACCCCGUAACUUCGGGAGAAGGGGUGCUCUAUUAGGGUGAAAGCCCGAGAGAGCCGCAGUGAAUAGGCCCAGGCGACUGUUUAGCAAAAACACAGGUCUCUGCAAAACCGUAAGGUGACGUAUAGGGGCUGACGCCUGCCCGGUGCUGGAAGGUUAAGAGGAGUGCUUAGCGCAAGCGAAGGUACGAAUUGAAGCCCCAGUAAACGGCGGCCGUAACUAUAACGGUCCUAAGGUAGCGAAAUUCCUUGUCGGGUAAGUUCCGACCCGCACGAAAGGCGCAACGAUCUGGGCACUGUCUCAACGAGAGACUCGGUGAAAUUAUAGUACCUGUGAAGAUGCAGGUUACCCGCGACAGGACGGAAAGACCCCGUGGAGCUUUACUGCAACCUGAUAUGGAAUGUUUGUACCGCUUGUACAGGAUAGGUAGGAGCCGAAGAGACGUGAGCGCCAGCUUACGAGGAGGCAAUGGUGGGAUACUACCCUGGCUGUAUGACCAUUCUAACCCGCCACGCUUAGCGCGUGGGGAGACAGUGUCAGGUGGGCAGUUUGACUGGGGCGGUCGCCUCCUAAAGAGUAACGGAGGCGCCCAAAGGUUCCCUCAGAAUGGAUGGAAAUCAUUCGCAGAGUGUAAAGGCACAAGGGAGCUUGACUGCGAGACUGACAAGUCGAGCAGGGACGAAAGUCGGGCUUAGUGAUCCGGUGGUUCCGCAUGGAAGGGCCAUCGCUCAACGGAUAAAAGCUACCCCGGGGAUAACAGGCUUAUCUCCCCCAAGAGUCCACAUCGACGGGGAGGUUUGGCACCUCGAUGUCGGCUCGUCGCAUCCUGGGGCUGUAGUCGGUCCCAAGGGUUGGGCUGUUCGCCCAUUAAAGCGGCACGCGAGCUGGGUUCAGAACGUCGUGAGACAGUUCGGUCCCUAUCCGUCGCGGGCGCAGGAAAUUUGAGAGGAGCUGUCCUUAGUACGAGAGGACCGGGAUGGACACACCGCUGGUGUACCAGUUGUUCCGCCAGGAGCAUCGCUGGGUAGCUAUGUGUGGCAGGGAUAAACGCUGAAAGCAUCUAAGCGUGAAGCCCCCCUCAAGAUGAGAUUUCCCAUUUCUUUAAGAAAGUAAGAUCCCUGAAAGAAGAUCAGGUAGAUAGGUUUGGAGUGGAAGUAUGGCGACAUAUGGAGCGGACAAAUACUAAUCGAUCGAGGACUUAACCAAU